rnacentral:lncRNA from 1 species
AGAGUCUUUCUCCUAGGAAAUGAGAACCGGGUUUGGAGUUUGGAGUACAAAGCAGAUGAUGACACCAUGGAAGGAAUGAAGGACAGAGCGAAGAAAGGAUGACUCGCAGUGGAGAUGGUGCUGCAGUCUGAGGGGGAGAGUAUACUGAGUCUCUAGGACAGGACCAAGGACAAGGCCUGGGUGUACACGAGAUGGGAGAAGGUGGAAGAGCCAGGUAAGGAGACCAAGAAGGAAUGGAAAGAGAGGAAUGAAAUUGGGAACCCUGGAUGCCACAGAAGAAAAAGAAGAGGGAAUAUCAUAAACGAAAUGGUCAUCAAAGAUGUCCUGGUGUUCUUCACUCGAGCAUUUUGUGCCUUGAGAGAAAAAGGCACGCGAGGCGGCUGUGCAUAACUGGCUGGCAACCCAACAUUCUCCAUUCCUACAAGACUGGCUUCAAAAAAGAAGUAUUGAGAAUACUUACUGAGACAAAGGUGAACCCAGCGCCACCCCCUUCGAAUGUAAUGUGGGCAAGAAAUGGUCAUUAAAUUCAAUAUAACAAGCUUUUAAUAAACCCCACUUUGGGGCUAGAUUCUAUGAACA